GUGGGAAACACCCCUUUCCUGACUCCCUGAUUCUGAACUGGGCUGUCCAUCAACAAUGCAAGGUCUGAGUUCCAGGGGUCCGGUGGGCAGGCCACAUCGUGCAUGUGGUGUGAGGGCCUGAAGGUGCUUCCACAAGACGGAUACUCAGAGUCAUUUUACUCUGGUUGAAGCCUUCCCACCCAGCCAGCAUUUGACAAGCACCACUAACAAGCAGUGAAAUUGACUGGCUGAUUCCAUCUCUCCAUCCUUUCAAACUCGUGCUAAUGAGCAGGCGAAUCACAAACAGGGAAAAGAGGGAAGAGGCAGGAUGCUCGGAUAAUCCCCCAACUGGAACACCCCUUCUGCAAUCAUUGCAAUCAUGUGGACAUGCACCAGCUGGAUUUAAAAUCGAUUAGAAGGAUUGACACCAAAAGAUAUUUAAAGGAAAAGUUGCCUGAUGUUCUUUCAAUUCCUCCACAUUAUGAAGACUGAUUCCAGUUUAAGGAGAAUUCUAGGUAAGAAAAAUAAUUCAAUUUUUAAUUUUAGACAAGACUAUUUCUGAAAAAAUCUCUCAGUUCUUAGGUUAUAUUACCAGUUACACUGUACUGUAAUGCGUAGAGUUUAGACUUCAUGUAGAGUUUAGACUUCAUACACUAAUUUCUGAUGGGAAGAAGAGGAUGACAGCCCUUUAGGGGAAAUGAAUGAUAACAUCACUGAGGUUUUCAUUAAUUUUUAAUGAGGCUUGUACAUUUCACUCAGAGAGUUAAGCAUCACCCAACUCUGGUAAAUGUUAUACCUCAUACACGUCAUUCAAUCACCUGAGUUUUAAGAGCAAGUUACUAUUUUUCAUUGUGCACUCUGAAAAAUAUCUUCUAUACAGGGAACAAUUAAAACAGUAGGACUAUAUUAAUUAUUUGGCUACUUAAAAAUGACUCAAUUAUAAUAACAAUUUGCUACAUGAUAUAUUAUACAUAGUUCCUAUUUUUAUUAAAAAACAAGUUACUCCAGCAAUUAUAUGAUGAAACUAACCUGUUUAUAUUUGAGCUGAACAUCUUUGGGUGUUUGUUGUUUUGUGCAUUUUCUUUAAUUCAUUUUCUUUUCUUAAUUGACAUUUUACAACCUGUUUCCUAGAUUUCAUAUUAACUGGUGUUGAAUCUGAAUCAUUUGGUUGAUACAGUAAGCAAUUUCUUUAAUAUAUUGGAGACAUAAAAGAUACAGUAGAAGUUUUAUAAAUUUUUAAUUAAAAAAUUAUUCUACUGUACAAAAGUCCCUUCCAGGCACCAGUCUCUUCAAAGACACACCCGGCUUGUGAAGAGGCUGUGUCCAUGCCAGUGGGGCUAAAGAUAGGUUCUGGUAGUUUCCUAGAACAGCUGUGUGGCAUGCAUCGUUCCCAGCUCUGAUUUUAUUAGGAUAAAACUCCCAGGUUUCUGUUGCUGAAAAGUCCUGGAAAAGCCCUGAGGCCUCUGACACCGGCCUCUCACGGUGGCUUUCCUGCAGUGGAGGCUGCAGGGUCGUACUUCUGAGUGACGGGGUCCUCAGCAAGCUACUGAUAGAGCUGACCCAGCUGGGAAAACCCCACCCCCACUUGCUUUCCAUCAGCAGAGCUGGGAGGCGGUUGUAGAGACAGGACGUGGGGCCUGGGGCUAAGGGCCUGGCUGGGGGUGGAUGGGGCCCUGCACCUGUGCCUGGCCCCGCUGCCAGAGCGCUCAGGGGUCAGCCCCGCUGACAGCUCAUCCACAGAAGAACUGUGAUCUGGAGACACAUACUUGAAUCUGAUUCAGUACGUGGAUUCAGACAUCAGAAUCAGAAUCUUGGUGUACUUGAAAACGGCCCCGAGGUAGAGGGCAGCCAGGAGCAUGUGGAUUCUGGCCACGGCCAUGAGCCAGCAUACUGAGGAGUUCAGGUGGGUGGGCCGGGCUUUCUCAGCUUUACUGUCCUCAUCUGCAAAAUUAAUCGGUUUGAUUACAUCUGGAAUGUUCAGUCUGCUCCAGUGAGUCCUAGAGUUUCUGAAGAGCCCUCUUUGAGUCUUUCCUGGAUGGGUAACCAUGGUGAGGAGCGUGGUCUCGGUCGUCCAAGCCCCGACUCAACCAGAGCAAAUGUGGAUUCAUGGCUUUCCCGUGUGCUUCUGAGUAAAUUCUGAUUUGACAAAGAUAACCUGCUGCUGAGAAGAAUAAAGGAUCUGAAAAGUUACCGUACAGCGUGAGUCUCUGACUGAGCCCUCUCAGGAUGAUCAGCGCUGGCUUCCUCUCUUGCUGCCUCUUUAUGUAAGACAUGCCAUCUCAGACGUGGGGACGGCACCCCUGGACCAAGUCCCCAUGCCUCCACGGAGUCAAAACACAGACCUUUCCUGCUGCACACUCACUUAGGAGCACCAAUAAUCCAGAAGCACUUCCAGAAAUAAAGGUGGAAAAUGAUUCUAGACAGUGCUUCAUAUUCUAUAGCUUGAAAUUUCUUAAAAGAGGCAAUAACACUUACCAAUUUGUAAAAUAUGGAAAAAAAUUCCAUUUCAUAAAAAUGAUAUUAGUGUAACACUGACAAUGGCGAUGACACAGUCACAAAUCACCCCUGUCCCAUCAGAACUAUUCCCUUUCUGCUUCAGGCUUUUUGAAGGUGUUAUAAAAAUAAACAUUUAAAUAAAACAAGAUUAAAUUCCUGCAGGAAAAGACCAUUACUUUUAAUGAGAUUCCUUGAAAUGAAGAACUAUAGCUUAAUUGAUUAAAAAAGAUUAAUAGGUAAUUAUUUGCUUAGGAACAAAAAUAAUCAAAAUAAAAAACACCUGCAGUUGCUCAUCAAGAGCAGGAAUCCAGAGAGAGAAAAUUUUCACCCUGGCUUUAGUCUUAUAAAGGUGCUCAUUCUCGCAUUGGACCAAAACGUCGAGAGACAUGGAUCUGAGUCCUGGUUUUGUAAUUAUUUCUCUUGUGACUGCAGGAAUCUUCCUUCAACUUUCUGGUCCUGAAAGACCAGGUCCAUAAAACGAUGUGGUUGGAGCAGAUAAUCUGCAGCAGCUCUGGUGUGCCUGAAACUGUCAGCAGUUAAACCGCUCCUGUUCCUUUUUGAGAUCUUAAUCAGAAAUGAAUAUGCAUCAAAGACACCCCAGAGCGAGACCCUCUUCCGUGUUAUUUCUACUGAAUGAGAGGCAGGAACUGCAUCAGUGUUUUGCAUGUCGUGAACUAUGGCCAUGAGACUAGAGUCCCCAGGAUGACACUCCACCAUCUGACUCAUGCUGAGGGCUCACACUGGCCCCUGAUAUUAUUUCUGAAGCCCUAACACUGAACGUAAAAACCUGGGAGAGAACUGUACGGAAGGACCCCAGGAUCCUGAUAGCCCCCAUGGAACAGGGCUUCGUGGAUUCAGGCGUCAGAAUCAAGCCUAGAGAGAGGAGAUGUUUACCGCUCAUGGCAGAGUGAGGCCUCGCGGUGAAUGGAAAGCAUGGCUGGGCACAGGGGUGGUCCUGAUGGAGGGGCCAGAGGCUGAUGAUGGCGUGGAGGCCCUGACACAGGGCAGCCCCGCCAGCCUCUGCAUGGCCGGGGGAGUUACACCCUUGAGGACGGGUUCCAGGAAUAAGAUGUGUGAUAUGCAGAAGACAACAGGGCCUUUGUGUGGAAAGGCAUCCGUGAAUUAACACCAAUGGCGGAGAGCAGGCAGUAGGGAAGCGGCCGCGGUGGGCGCUGUUCCGCACCCCGUGUGGUCUGGCUUGCACGGCCAG